UGGACCUGAUAUCAGGCAAGAU
rnacentral:rRNA from 2 species